GACAGAGGUGCCGAGCGUUAGGCGGAAUCACUGGGCUUAAAGCGUGUGUAGGCGGACCGUUAAGUACCUUGUGAAAUCCCCCGGCUCAACCGGGGAACGGCUGGGUAUACUGGCGGUCUUGAGCCAUCCAGGGGCAGUCGGAACAGACGGAGGAGCGGUGAAAUGCGUAGAUAUCGUCUGGAACGCCGAAGGUGAAAACAGACUGCUGGGGAUGAGCUGACGCUGAGACACGAAAGCCAGGGGAGCGAACGGG
rnacentral:rRNA from 1 species